CUAGAGUUUGAUCAUGGCUCAGGACGAACGCUGGCGGCGUGCCUAAUGCAUGCAAGUCGCACGCAGAGUGCUUGCACUCUGAGUGGCGCACGGCUGAGGACCACGUGGGAACAUGCCUCCUUGUGGGGGACAACACCGCGAAAGCGGUGCUAAUCCCGCAUACGCUCGGGCAACCGAGGAAAGCCGUAAGGCGCAGGGAGAGUGGCCCGCGGCCCAUCAGGUAGUCGGUGGGGUAAUGGCCUACCGAGCCAAUGACGGGUAGCUGGUCUGUGAGGACAGACAGCCAGACUGGGACUGAGACACGGCCCAGACUCCUACGGGAGGCAGCAGCAAGGAAUUUUCGUCAAUGGGCGCAAGCCUGAACGAGCAACGCCGCGUGGAGGAUGACGGCCUUCGGGUUGUAAACUCCUUUUUCGGGGGACGAUAAUGACGGUACCCCGGGAAUAAGGCUCGGCUAACUCUGUGCCAGCAGCCGCGGUA
rnacentral:rRNA from 1 species